ACGCUGGCGGCAGGCCUUAUACAUGCAAGUCGAGCGCAUCCUUCGGGAUGAGCGGCGGACGGGUGAGUAACGCGUGGGAAUGUGCCCUUCUCUACGGAAUAGCCACUGGAAACGGUGAGUAAUACCGUAUACGCCCUUAGGGGGAAAGAUUUAUCGGAGAAGGAUCAGCCCGCGUUAGAUUAGGUAGUUGGUGGGGUAACGGCCUACCAAGCCUACGAUCUAUAGCUGGUUUUAGAGGAUGAUCAGCCACACUGGGACUGAGACACGGCCCAGACUCCUACGGGAGGCAGCAGUAGGGAAUCUUGGACAAUGGGGGAAACCCUGAUCCAGCCAUGCCGCGUGAGUGAAGAAGGCCUUAGGGUCGUAAAGCUCUUUCGCCUGUGAUGAUAAUGACAGUAGCAGGUAAAGAAACCCCGGCUAACUCCGUGCCAGCAGCCGCGGUAAUACGGAGGGGGUUAGCGUUGUUCGGAAUUACUGGGCGUAAAGCGCGCGUAGGCGGAUUGGAAAGUUGGGGGUGAAAUCCCGGGGCUCAACCCCGGAACUGCCUCCAAAACUGCCAGUCUAGAGUUCGAGAGAGGUGAGUGGAACUCCAAGUGUAGAGGUGAAAUUCGUAGAUAUUUGGAAGAACACCAGUGGCGAAGGCGGCUCACUGGCUCGAUACUGACGCUGAGGUGCGAAAGUGUGGGGAGCAAACAGGAUUAGAUACCCUGGUAGUCCACACCGUAAACGAUGAAUGCCAGUCGUCGGGUAGUAUACUAUUCGGUGACACACCUAACGGAUUAAGCAUUCCGCC
rnacentral:rRNA from 1 species